GACAAUUUCGCGAAAAUUGGUUCACCUUUUGUGGAUCCCCCGCAUGACAUUCAGAAUAUUUCAGAGGCAGCGUCAAAAACGCGAUAUGAACCAUGACGGCCGAAAAGGAGAACGAAGCCGCACAGAACUUGACUGCAACGCCAUCCAAAUGGUUGGCAGUCAAUGGGCCAUCGCCUAGGCCUAUUUGGAUUGCACAGUGGCGGUCACAAAAAACUAAUGGCUUGCCGCCAUCUGUAUGACAAAUACUGACACAGAGGCCACGGGGACGCAUCUCAAAGUGACAAGUCAAGCGGAGAAGGUGCAGAGGAUCCAAGGACGCUGCGGCCUGUGUGAUAUGUUAAUUUGGCCUAAACUACACACACACCACACACCAACGGAAAAUGGCGAACUGCGGAUGGGGAAAACGAAAACGAAAACGAAAGCGAGUGCGAAUGCGAAUGCGAAACGCGUCCUUCGCCAGCAAAUCCCAAAGGCGAAAUGUGUCAUAUAUUCACCAGUUGGCUGCGGAUUUUAAAGAAACACGAAAAAGAAAGCAAUAUUUUCUUAUUUCUCCACCGCUUCGAUCGAAUGUCUUUGGCAGCUUUUGGUUGCACGGACAUGGGGCAGUUUUGAUUUAUGCCACAAGAUGCGACAGUCUUUGUGGAGUAUAUGAUAAUAAAUCAGUUUUUAAGGUUUAAUGGUGUAAGAGAAAAGAAGGAAAAUCACU
ensembl:ncRNA lncRNA:CR44111 long non-coding RNA:CR44111